rnacentral:lncRNA from 1 species
CUGCAUUAAGUGCAAACAAAUGAGGCACAGCUCCGCCAACUUCUGAAUUCUCCAUCACCGCCUUUGUGAGUUUCUUCAGGCUUCUAGUAUUUUUUCCCUUCCACAAGGGAUAGAGGGCCAAUCAAGUUUAAGGCACCGAUCUUUCACGCUCUUUCGUAGAGGUAAUCGAUACUGAUAAACCCUAUAAGCUUUCCUCGUUUUUGGGAAUUCAACCUUUCUGUUUUCUCACUUACCAGAAAGUUUUUUUCGGAUUUUGUUUGUUUGCUCUUAUUUUGGUAGUUUAAGGAAUAAUAAGGCAUCAGGUAAUACAACAUUAUUUUUAGGUCUUAUUAGUUUUAUGGAUCUUAUAUGUUCAUUCUUAUAUUGGCAGGGAAAAAUCAUGUUAUUCUCUGUUGCUAUAUAGCUUUAUUGUUGAAUUCCUAUUUCAUUUUAUUUAUUAAUUUUUGAGUGUUUCAAGUAUUAUUGGAUAAUACGGGGCGACUUACCAACUAUCUAAUGAACUUUCCCUUCGCCAUGUUUUUUUAUUCUUGGUUGAAAAAGUUGGACACAAAUUAAAAAUAGUUCUUCACUUAUAUUAAUCUCCUUUUUUAUUAAAGAUAAAAUAAUACCAUCUGAACAUUGAAAAGGAGGAGCCCAAAUUGGUGAAGUUUUUCUUUAGAAAUUUUGGUAAUUAAUGUGAAGUUUUAUAUCAUCUUGGCUAAGUUUGAAAAAAAAAGAGGUUGGUGAAAAUCUAUAGAUUCCAUGAACUUAAAAAAAAUGCUAUGAAGAAAAGCACUAUGCCAGUUGGUGAAGAUCUUAUCUGCAAUUUGUUUGGUUCGAGUUUUGAAUGUUCAUAAUGUUCACAUAUACACACCAUAUUGAUCUUUAUUUGUGACUUUACAACAACAACCCAGUAUAAUCCCACUUAGUGGGGUCUGAGAGGGUAGUAUGUACGCAGAUCUUACCCCUACCCUUGGGUAGAGAGGUUGUUUCCAAAUAGGCCCCUGGCAUCCUUCCCUCCAAGAAUUUCCCACCUUGCUCUUGGGGAGACUCGAACUCACAACCUCUCGGUUGGAAGUGGGGGUUGCUUACCAUCAGAGCAACUCCUCUUGUCAUCUUUAUUUGUGACUUUACUGAUUGGUUAUAAUUUGGGUAAAGCGACAUUAGGUGUGCUUGCUUUUGCUUACUAUUUUUCAGCCAGCUAAAAUAUUUUCGGUGAUGAAGAGGUCAACCAGGCAUUUGGGUAGCUAUAAUGUUCUCAAUUGUUUUUAAUGCUUGAGAUUAGUUUGAGCGAAAGAAUUUCAAAGAUGUGAAACUGCUAUGUUAAAUAUAUAUAUAUAGAAUAUCUGAGCUUUCACUAAUAUGAGUAGUUUAUGAUAAAAAUAUUUUUCUGUUUUGUAUGGGGAGCAUCUUGAUGGCCAGGAUAUAUUAAUUCUAUCAAUUGUUUCACUAGCAUGUGAGUGUUAGGAAACAGGAAAUUCAGGUACAAGUCAACUUACCACUGCAUGUAUUUGGAUUUCUCUCUGCUGCAGUCUGUUGUUUAUUUACUUGAAUUCUUGACUGAAAUGUUGCGUUUAUAUUUUUUGUGUGCAGGUUAGAUCAUUUUAUAGCUGAGAAUUGUAGAUUCUAUCUAGCUUACAUAGUACCUACACCCUCCAAUGUUACUAUUACAGGUAAAACUCUGUAAUAGUGAAAAUUAGUCACUGAAUUUUUAACCUCUUACAUUCAUUGAAUCAUCUCCAUGACUAUUCAUUGAUUAUUUUUUCAAUGAACUCUUGUGUUUGAAUUUGCUUUGAAAUACAGGUUUUAUUGUCAGGAUACUAGGCAACUAUACUGGAAUUUACUAGGAAUGAUUUAUAUCUCGUGAAAUAUAAUUAGGUGCAUUUGAAAAUUUUGUUCUGUUGACUAACUGACCGAAGUGAACUUUCCUUUUUGAAAAAGAAGUCCACUUAUCGAAUUUGUCUAUUAAUAUACAAUAGUUAAACACAAGAAAGCAACAGAGGCAUACUAGACUAAUAAUUGUAGAAUUUUAAAAUAUUCUGCCAAUGGAAAGAAUAUAUAAAUAUUUUAGUAACAGAAAGAAUUCAGAUAGUGUAGCCAUUUCUACUUCUGAAAGAUCUAAAGCUUGAUAAAUAGUACGAUAUCAAAAGUGAGGACCUCCUAAUUCUAAUAUGUUGGUUUUAGUAACAAGUAGCAAAUUCAACUCUAGAGAGAAUGCGACUAGAUGUCUAGAUUAUUAGAAAACAGAAAGGCAAAUAAAGCAUGAUUAUUGUCCAUAGGUUCUGUUAUUGAAUCAUUACAGCAUAAUGAUUAUACUUUGAUCUCAUGAAUACUGUAACAUAUAUAGAUUUUCUUCUAUUUUUACAAUUUAUUUUUGUCCUUCAUAAGUAUAUCUCAUACAUAUAUCUAAUAGUAUUGUAAUUUUUGUCAUUUUCAAGUAAUGUGUACUUUUGUACGUGAAAAAGAAUGCGUUCAAGUAAUUUGUGGUAUCUAGCUCUUGAAGAAAAGCACAUAGUAUGUUAUUAUAUCGUUGUUAUAAUUUGUAUUAUGUACUAUAUUAUCUUCAUUUUUCAUCUUUUUAUGCAUAUCUUGCUCAAUGCUGACAUAUAUGAACAAUUUUGGCAUCUUUUAGAUGCUGCCUCUUUUGUUUGGAAGUAGUAGCCUAAUAUUUCAUACCAAAUCUUAUGUGAAACUUAAUAAUCUUGUAGGGAUAGUUGAUAGAGAAGAGUGCAUGGCCUGUGAGGCCAACAUUUUCCAUGUUUCUCUGGAUCAAUUCGUCGUUCGAUUUUUGAAAAGGUAUUUUUUGAUUGUUUACGUUACCAUGGCACACCAUAUGUUUAGGCUAAUUUUUGAUAGUGGAGGGGCAAAUUUGACUUUUCCCCUAUCUAGAUGAAAGAUUAAACACCAUUUGUUUAGAAUUAUAUAGAGAAGUGUUUACAGAUAUAGUUCGAUAUUCUAAAAAAAUUAGUAGCUAAGAAAAAACAUGUUAAGAUACAUAAAGUAGUAUUAUUAAAAGCGAAUGUUAAGAAAAAAUGAUCAAGUUGAAUAGGAAGAAAUGAAGAAAAAACUCAUUUGGUAAUGUGAGAAAGAGUAAGAUUUCCAUUUAAGAAAAGUGAAAGUUUACUUACCAAAAAGGAAUCUAAUCAGGUUGAAUUAGGAGAAAUAAAGAGUUAGUUGAAAAUUAAAAGUGUGAAUGAUUAACUAAUUGACUGAUUUUCUUUAUCCAUUGCAUAUUUCAUAAUAUUACCGGGUCGUUGUGUCACAACUCAAUUUUCUAACCCGGUCGUGAUGGCGUCUCUCGUGAAGACAAGGCCAGCCAGACCAUUUACGAACACCACUAUAAGCAGUUAGCCAGUUUUAUAACAUAUCAAAUAUAAAUUAAUGAUAUUAACCAAUAUGAAUACCAAUACAACCCGACCAGGGUGUUACAAAUAACGAGCAUCUAGGAGUGCCUUUAUUAAAAUUUAAAAGUCUAUAAUACAUAGAGUAAAAUCUGGGAAUCAAGAAGAAGAAGAAUCUCGGUGCCGUGAAUGCCGGCGGUCACCUAACUUAGCUACGAUAGCAAUAUCUUCAAUCCGCUACUAACCCGCUACCGGGUGAACAACACCUGCAACUGCACGCGAGGUGCAGAGAGUCAAGUGAGUACUUCCAAUUCAGUGGUAAUAAGAUAGAAUAGUAUCUGAGCGAUAAGAAAACAGGUAUGAGCACACCACAUUGCUAUAAAAGACAGAACAACCCUUUUUGAGAAAAACCGAAAUACUGUGGAAAAUCCCUUUAGAAAAUCUCAAUUCCAGUACAAAAAAAAUACUCUUUUGAAAAUAUGCUUUUUCAAGAGUUGCAAAGGUAAUUUCAACAAGUAGGAAGUAAUCAGAAACCUGCCCCUCGGGCUCAGUAUCNNNNNNNNNNNNNNNNNNNNNNNNNNNNNNNNNNNNNNNNNNNNNNNNNNNNNNNNNNNNNNNNNNNNNNNNNNNNNNNNNNNNNNNNNNNNNNNNNNNNNNNNNNNNNNNNNNNNNNNNNNNNNNNNNNNNNCGGCUCAGCACUCCUUAACAUAUAACACCAGGGUAUCUGGUCAACAAGGCAAGUAACAGUAUGUAUGCCAAUGAUAUAUGAGUGCUAAAUGUCAUCCACGUUGUACAAGCAGGAGUAAAUGCAUGAAUGCAAUGCAGUGCAAUGCGUAUGACCGCUACAGCGCGUAGCCCAAUCCAUUUGGGUACCCACGCUCACUGUGGGGGUUCAGACUGUAGAGGUGAUCCUACAGCCCAAACGCAAUAUCAAUAGCACACCGCUGGGGUGUGCAGCCCGAUCCAUGUAAUGUAUAUGCAUAUGUACACAUAACACUCGGGCCUGAAGCCUCCUUACAUCAUCUUCAUGCCAUCACAUUUGGACCUCAACCUCAAUUAGUCCAAAAUAGUCAAAAAGCCUCUCGGUCAUCAGUAAAACAAUAAUAAUUGGCUCAAAUGAUAGUUCAAAUAUCAGUUAAAACUCCAAGUUUGAGUAAAAAUAUAGUUGAGUUCCAGUAAUACUCACCUCAAAUAAUAGUUCAAUACCAAUUAAAACUCCAAGUUUGAGUAAAAUAUAGUUGAGUUCAUAAAAUAGAGUAAAUUACACGGACUGAGUUCAAAUAAUAUUUCAAAUGGUGAGGAAAACAGUGAUGAUAGCUCACAAAGAGUCCAAACAAUCGGCAAUAAGCCCCAAGUAUGGCAAUGAGCCAAAGUCAUAAUGAUAACAACAAAUCAUUUGCAAAUACUCGGUGAAAACCAACAAUCAGGACGGACCAAGUCACGAUCCCCAACGGUGCUCUACCCCACGCUUAGGUCCAGCGUGCAAGUCACCACAAUAUAGCACUAAGAUGUGCAAAUCUGGGGUUUCAAACCUUCAGAAUAUCAUUCCCAAGUGUUACUCACCUCGAACCGGCGAAAUCUCAAGCUCGCGACGCCUUUGCCCCUCAAAUCAGCCUCCACGCGCUUCGAAUCUAGCUAAAAACAGAGCGAAUGCAUCACAAUAUACAAAUGGGACAAUACCCAAUUGAAAACAAUCGGAAUAUGACAAGAAUCUCGAAACUAUCAAAACCCGAGCCCCGGACCCGCUUCUUGAAAAUUUACAAAACUUAUAUUUCCGGAAUCUUUGUCUCGUCACGAGUUCAUACAUACCAUGAACUCCCAAAUUCGAGCUCAAAUGACCUAUCAAAUCCCAAUUUUGAAAUGUCAAAACUCAAGCCCUAACUUCUUCAAUUUCAUACCCAAAUUCAGAGAAUUAAUGGAUGAUUUCGAUUAAAUGACGUUUUGAAUCCAUAAGACUUACCUCCAAUCAAUCCUCUUCGAAUCCCUCUUCAAUUGUUCUCAAGAAGCUCCGAAAAUGCUCAACAAUGGAAGAAAAUACAUAACCCUCGCGGAUGAAAAAUGAUAAUUUCACCUUUCUGCCUAGCUCGAUUUCCGCUUUUGCGGUCAUACCUCCGCUUAUGCGGCUCUCGCUUCUGCGUCCUUUCAACCGCUGAUGCGGUCCAACCAAUAAUUUAACCCUUCUGCCCAGCUCGAUUUCCGCUUCUGCGAUCAUAUCUCCGCUUAUGCGUCUCUCGCUUCUGUGUCAUUUCGACCAUUGAUGCGGUCCAACCCUUUCUCUCAGGGACCGCUUUUGCGGUCAACUACCGCUUACGUGGUCACCGCCUAUGCGGUUAUCCUUCCGCAUCCGCGAUCCAGGCCAACUCCCUCAUUGGCCGCUUCUGCGACCUCACGUCCGCUUCUGCGGACUCCCUUAGGCUAAAAGAGUUCCGCUUCUGCAGAACUACCCAGCUCCACAUCUAACCGCUUAUGCGACCAACAUCACGCUUCCGCGAAGCCGCUUCUGCGGUCCAUUUUCCACAGAAGCGCUCAUACCAGACACCAACAAGAUCUGCCACUUCUCAACUUAAGAUUUCAUCCCGAAAGCCACAUGAAAUUACCCCGAGGCCGCAGGACCUCAACCAAAUGUACCAACAUAUCCCAAAACCUCAUAUGAACUUGUUCCAAUCCUCAAAACACAUCAAACGACGCUAAAACCAUUAAAAACACAUCGGAUUUAAGCCUAUUUUUCUUUAAAGCUUCCGAUUUGCAUAUUUGAUCAAAAACCCAACCAAACGAUGUCCGAAUGACCUGAAAAUUUGCAAACAUAUAAAAAAAGCCUAACAAAGCUACUGCAAAUCUCGUAAUUCCAUUCCGACCCUCGGAUCAAAAUCUCACCUAUCAAUUGGGAUCUGCCAAAAUUCAAGCUUCGCCAAAUCAAGCAUAAUUCUACACCGGACCACCAAAUUCAAUUUCGAUCGCUCUCCUAAGUCACAAAUCAUCUCCCGAAGCUAACUGAAUCAUUGGACAUCACAUCCGAGCCUUCUAACUCACAAGUCAACUUCCAGUUGACUUUUCUAAAACAAGCUUCCUUCUAAGAUGCCAUGUGCCUUAUUUUCAACCAAAACCAAUUCAAUUACACCCGAUCGACUACUGAAACAUGAAGAAACACAAUAAGGGGGAAACGGAGCAGUAACGCAUAAGACGACGGGUUGAGUCAUCACAGGUUUCCUCUACACUCGAUCGAGUCUAAUACUGAUAUUGAAACAUGAAACAACACAAUAAGGGGGAAACAUAGCAGUAACACAUAAGACGACAUGUCGGGUCGUCAUAUCUUCCCCAACUUAAACAAACGCUCGUCCUCGAGCGUACCCAGGGUUGUACUAAAAGCAACCCAAUAGCUGAAUGACCUUACCAAGAAUAUACUCGGGCUGAUCUCAUGUCACCCUAUCUCACAUAGGUCCGCUAUCACAACAUAGCCAGAAAUUCACAAUCCAACCAAACUAUAAACAAUAGGACCGCAUCGCACUUCCCGAAAUCAUGCACCAGAUCAAAACCUCACAUCUAUACUCAGGAUUAUCAUGAACCAGCUGUAAUAAUCCAUACCUGCAACCUCGGCUUCAAUCAUAUGAUAUCCCAUAUAACUCAAACACAUGCGUCGAUAACCUCCAUUCACAGCAAUUGCCCAUGAUAGCCGGACACCGAUAGAAAACCUUUUGUUAGCUAAAGUCUUAUUCCAACACUUUCAUAUCCUGCCAACGGUAACUGAAACACGCGAUAAAAUACUACAGAUUUCGGAGGCAAACCUCGAUAUUACCUUUCUAACAAGCUGAAAUCAAAUGUGCUCGUACUCAUUUAUGACUCCAACGAUCAUCUCAGCUGCAACACGCCACUCUGGUGAUAUGACACCUCAAUACCGGCCUAAGCCACAAUGUGCUCAACACAGGCACCAAUAAGAAAAGAUCUGAACACACUCAAAUCAUGACAACUGACUCAACGAAAGAGCUGUAAUGCAAAUUCCUCCACAAGAUCAUAACACAGAACUAAGAUCCCAUUUCACAUCAUAGAAAUAGAACACUUGAAUCCUCCUCGAAAGGUCAUAACAUCACGUGGCCUUGCCACAAUGCGAGAUUAUAUCAAAACACUAUUACCCAUGAAGCACCUUAAGUCACCAUGCUCAACACUAACAGCCACCCACAGAUUGAGGUCUGAAACCAAGCAAUCCAUCACGUCCACGGUGAAGCAAAUAUUACACACUAUUCAAUCCUGAAAGGACACACCGAUGCUCUAUUCGCCAAGCAACACCCAAUACGGAUUUUCCUCAGAAACCAGGAAGUACGGCAUACAAAGUAACAAAUAGAGAACCAGUUCUCAACAUCACAUUAUUGCAGCGUGCAAUCCGCUCCAGAAAACAUACCCGAGGCGGCGUGCCACCCGAUCCAGGUACCAUACCCGUGGCGGCGUGCCACCCGAUCCGCACAUAUAUCUCACAAAAGUAGUUGCACAUUGAGUCAAAUUUGCUCAUUACAUUAAACACGUAUAGCCUCAUGCCCGGCCGCAAGAAACACAUCUGGAAAGUCCCUCAAUACUGGAACUGAAUCAAUGGUAGAAACUUCUGCACUGACAUCUGCUACGAAGGCCCAAUUAAACAAGCAAUACUUGCCAGCCGUCCGCUAGUCUCUAGAGUAGAAGCAACCCUGAUAGAACAUAAUCUGACAUACCUUGCCACGCAGCCUAUGGCAUUUUCUGACAUAGCCCAUAACACAUUAGUCUAGACAAUCAAUCCCUGGAACAACCAGUCUGCCAUCAAAUAUCAUAACCCAGAUUUAACAUACCACGCAAAGAAAGAUCCACUCGGAUCUCCAAUUUCCAACAACUGCUAGACGAUGUCGAUACACACGACCCCCAACCACAGCAUGGUCGGAUCACGUGAACUUUUAGUCCCCAACACAUAUAACACAUGAAUCACUAUGCUUGAUCCCACACUCCGCCGUACGAAUACGUAACACACAUCAAGUAUCCAUUCAUACAACAAAUGAUAUUCAAAAUUUCCCGCGCCAUCAACAAACGCAAAUAUCCGCAGUCGAUCCAACAAGAAAAUUUCGCAAUACUACUGACGUAUCAUCAAUUUACAUCACCUUAAUCAUCUGAAGAUCGAUUCUUUANNNNNNNNNNNNNNNNNNNNNNNNNNNNNNNNNNNNNNNNNNNNNNNNNNNNNNNNNNNNNNNNNNNNNNNNNNNNNNNNNNNNNNNNNNNNNNNNNNNNNNNNNNNNNNNNNNNNNNNNNNNNACCUGUAGCUGACCGUGCUACUCAAGAAUUUAAUGAUUUCCCAUUAUGAACUGAACCAAAACCUUGAACACGCAAAUCUCAGUUCUCCAUAUCAUAAUACAUAGACCAUACCACUCAAGGAUAACAUGAGGACUUCUAUCUCUCUCAUGUGCCGCAGACAUCGACGCACUCAACUAGUCAAGAAAUUUCAGGAUCCCAUAUAGGAGAAAAAUUAUUACACACUCCAUGUUUCGCAUACCCAUGGGAAAUAUACUCAUUUUCAAACCACGGUAAAACACAUCAAGAGCUCUUUCUCCCAAUUCCAUUGCACAAGCUAAACUGCCAGGACUGAAUCCUUUUACCCAAACCAAGUUAAGCAAACUACCAGCACUUAAAGCUUUGCUGCACAAUACCCGUAAGGCUCAUUACCUCGAAUACAUACAAGAAUUAAUCAUACUCUUACCAUACCGAUUUGGUUUAUUAUCAAGUUAUUCCACUUAUCUAAUUUCUUGCAUGAUUUAUUAUUAAUUUGAUAUUCUCCCUUGCUGUAGCACCACAUUACCUCAACUCAGGUUACCACACGAGACUCGCACAUAAGAACACACUAUCUAAGACCCAUAGGCCACUGAAUACCCUCUCGAACGCUUCUCAGAAAUAAAAUAUUCCAGAAUGCUUUACCUUGAAGAACUUCCUGCGAAUCUGAAUUCGUUUCCAUUACCUCUCAAAUACGGAUACAUAGAAUCGCAUGAUUAUCAUAGAAUACCACAAGUCUUUAUCUUUCCUAAUGAAAACACAGUCUCUAGCCACAUACAUAAACUUAAGACACCUGGUGGUUAUAUGCAAACUCUUGGACACAAUAAAACCAUUCUCGAGAGUCAUUCACUCUUAAACAACUAAAAUUCACUGCCUUAACGGACAGAACCACUCGUGCCUUAUUAAUACUCUAACACCACAGAACAUAAUUUCAUAUAGAUACAACAACCAUUUCCUUCUUUAUGCAUUGAGCAUUCUUUAUCAAUAGCAGCUCAAAAUAUCCUAGUAUUUUCUCACAUUUACGAGAGCACCAUAUAACCUUUGUAGAAAUUUUUCUUCACACGUGCCAUCAUCGGCUCAAUUUCCGUAACCAGAACUGAUCUGCCAUCGUACCUCAAAACGAAACCAAUAUAGCACAUAACCAUACAAUCAGGUGACCAACAGCAACCUCCCCAACUUGGCUUGAAGCCAUAUAUUAAGGCACUCUUAUCAACUCAUAACACUUUUACUCUAAUGAUGCCACAAUGGAUCAAACUCAAAUCAUUUACAAGUUUUGUGAAUACCUAGAUCAUCUAGCACUGACAUUCUCUGCAAACGCCGCAUUCAUUUCCACAUCAACUGAGUCCACUUUCUUAAGCGUCCCCAUUCCUCGAAAUACAACACAUACCCUUCAAUUACACAUGAGAUUUUUUACAUACACAUAAGGAUCAUACCGCUGAAAACCCUUCACAGGAUAUAACCCACUUGCUUCGCCUCAUUUCACUAUUUCCACAUGCCUUCCACCAUCAUAUACGUAAUACACAGCUAUUAAGUCUUUUCGAGUCUAAACUCAUACUGCCACAUGGAAGGUACUUUACUUGACAAUUAAGAGACACGAAAAUAUUCUUCACGCGCCCAUGCCUCGGGCUACACAACAGAUAUCAAUAAGAAACAAUCACUUAACAGAUCAUCUAAUAUCCGGCAGACUUUUUCAUCAUUACCAAAAUUAUAUAGAUACACCUCGCAGUACAAACAUACUCAUCACAUGGAUAUCCAUCCGCCAUUCCGGCUAAAAGAAUAACACUGAACAUAUAAGUUCAAUUUACUUGCUCACACAAUCAGCACCUCGAUGCUCAAGCCAUAGGCAAAUAUCCGGUCUGAAGUCCUCCAGACAGGCCCAACAUGAACUCACGGAGAUUACCUCUCGCCCCUUGUUCGGGGAAUCACAAGCCAACGAGGGACAUAUACUACUGAGAGCUCACGUGCGCAUACCGAUGUGUGUAAGGAAUUUUUCAAGAGUCAUCUCAAACUGAAUCAAGUACGCACGAUAAGAAUUCCAAGAAUGAGAAGUUUUCCUAAUGUUUAUGCAGCCUCUCGAGGAUAAAUACAGACGUCUCCGUACCAAUCCGUGAGACUCUACUAACCCUGCUCAUGACUUGUGAGACCUAGUAACCUAGGCUCUGAUACCAACUUGUCACGACCAUAUUCCCUAACCCGGUCGUGAUGGAGCCUCUCGUGAAGACAAGGCUAGUCAGACCAUUUCAGAACACCACUUAAAGACGUUAGCCAGUUUUAUAACAGAUCAAAUCUAAAUUAAUGAUAUUAAUCAAUAUGAAUACCAGUACAGCCCGACAAGGGUGUCACAAAUCACGAGCAUCUAGGAGUGCCUUUAUUAAAAUUUAAAAGUCUAUAAUACAUAGAGUAAAAUAUGGGAAUCAAGAAGAAGAAGAAUUUCGGUGCCGCGAACACCGACGAUCACCUAACUUAGCUAUGAUAGCAAUACCUUCAAUUCGCUACUAACCCGCUACCGGGUGAACAACACCCGCAACUGCACGCGAGGUGCAGGGACUAAAGUGAGUACUUCCAACUCAGUGGUAAUAAAAGAGAAUAAUAUCUGAGCGAUAAGAAAACACGUAUGAGCACACCAAACUGCUAUAAAAAACAGAACAACUCUUUUUGAGAAAAAUCGAAAUACUGUGAAAAAUCCCUUUAGAGAAUUCCAGUUUCAGUUCAAAAAAAUCUCUUUUGAAAAUAUGCUUUUUCAACAGUUGCAAAGGUAAUUUCAACAAGUAGGAAGCAAUCAGAAACCUGCCGCUCGGGCACAAUAUCAACCUCUGAGUACAGUAUCAGAUUGCGGGCUCACUCCAAACUCACAAUAUCUUACAUUAGUCUCUCGGGCUCAAACAUAUAACACUAGGGUAUCUGGUCAACAAGGCAAGUAACAGUAUGUAUGCCAAUGAUAUAUNNNNNNNNNNNNNNNNNNNNNNNNNNNNNNNNNNNNNNNNNNNNNNNNNNNNNNNNNNNNNNNNNNNNNNNNNNNNNNNNNNNNNNNNNNNNNNNNNNNNNNNNNNNNNNNNNNNNNNNNNNNNNNNNNNNNNNNNNNNNNNNNNNNNNNNNNNNNNNNNGAUCCAUUUGGGUACCCGCGCUCACUGUGGGGGUUCAGACUCCGGAUGGGCUCCUACAGCCCAAGCGCAAUAUCAAUAUCACACCGCUGUGGCAUGCAACCCGAUCCAUGCAAUGUAUAUGCACAUGUACACAUAACACUCGAGGCUUGAAACCUCCUUAUUUCAUCUUCAUGCCCUCACAUAUGGCCCUCAACCUCAAUCAGUCCAAAAUAGUCAAAAAUCCUCUCGGGCAUCAGUAAAAUAAUAAUACUCAGCUCAAAUGAUAGUUCAAAUAUAAGUUAAAAAUAUAGUCGAGUUCAUGAAGCAGUGUAAAUCACGGACUGAGUUUAAAUAAAUAGUGAGGAAAACAGUGAUGAUAGCUCACAAAGAGUUCAAACAAUCCGCAAUAAGCCCCAAGUAUGGCAAUGAACCCAAGUCAUAAUGAUAACAACAAAUCAUUUGCAAAUACGCGGUAAAAACCAACAACCGGGACGGACCAAGUGAUGAUCCCCAACGGUGCUCUACCCCACGCUCAGGUCAAGCGUGCAAGUCACCACAUUACAGCACUAAGAUGUGCAAAUUCGGGGUUUCAAACCCUCAGAAUAUCGUCCCCAAGUAUUACUCACCUCGAACCGACGAAAUCUCAAGCUCGCAAUGCCUUUUCCCCUUAAAUCGGCCUCCACACGUGUUGAAUCUAGCAAAAAACAGAAUAAGCAAAUGGGAAAAUACCCAACCGAAAACAAUCGAAAUAUGUCAAGAAUCUCGAAACUAGCAAAACCUGAGCUCCAGGCCCGCUUCUCGAAAAAUUAUGGAACUUAUAUCCGGAAUCCUCGUCUCGCUACGAGUUUAUACAUACCAAGAACUCCCAAAUCCAAGCUCAAAUGACCUAUCAAAUCCCAAUUUGGAUAUGUCAAAACUAAAGCCCUAACGUUUUCAAUUUCAUACCCAAGAAUUAAUGGAUGAUUCUUUGAUUAAAUGACGUUUUAAAUCCAUGAGGCUUACCUCCAAUCGAUCCUCUUUGAAUUCCUCUUCAAUUGUUCUCAAGAAGCUCCGAAAAUGCUCCACGAUGGAAGAUAAUACAUAACCCUCGUAGAUGAAAAAUGAUAAUUUAACCCUUCUGCCCAGCUCGAUUUCUGCGUCUGCGGUCAUAUUUCCGUUUAUGCGGCUCUCGCUUCUGCGUCCUUUCGACUGCUGAUGCGGUCCAACCUUUUCUCCUAGGGACUGCUAUUGCGGUCAACUACCGCUAACGCGGUCAUCGCCUAUGCAGUUAUCCUUUCGCAUCCGCAAUCCAGGCCAACUCCCCCAUUGGCCGCUUCUGCGACCCCACGUCCGCUUCUGCGGACUCGCUUAGGCGAAAAGAGUUCCGCUUCUGCGGAACUGUCCACCUCCACAUCAGACCGCUUAUGCGACCAACAUCGCGCUUCCACGGAGCCCCUUCUGUGAUCCAUUUUCCACAGAAGCGCUCAUACCAGACACUAGCAAGAUUUUCCACUUCUCAACUUAAUAUUUCAUCCCGAAAGCCACACGAAAUUACCCCGAGGCACUCCACAUCUGAACGCUUAUGCGACCAACAUCACGCUUCCUCGGAGCCGCUUCUGCGGUCCAUUUUCCGUAGAAGCGUUCAUACCAGACACCAGCAAGAUCUGCCACUUCUCAACUUAAGAUUUCAUCCCGAAAGCCACACAAAUUUACCCCAAGGCCCCCGGGACCUCAACCAAAUGUACCAACAUAUCCCAAAACCCCAUACAAACUUGUUCCGAUCCUCAAAACACACACAACAACACAAAAAUCAUCAAAUUACCAUGGAUUAAGCCUAUUUUUCUUCAAAGCUUCUGAUUUGCACAUUUAAUCAAAACAGGAUCUAAACCAAAUGUACCAACAUAUCCCAAAACCCCAUACCAACUUGUUCAAAUCCUCAAAACACAUCAAACAACGCUAAAAAAAUUAAAAGACAUCGGAUUCAAGCCUAUUUUUCUUCAAAGCUUCCGAUUUGCAGAUUCGAUCAAAAACCCAACCAAAUGACGUCCGAAUGACCUGAAAAUGUACAAACAUAUCAAAAAUUACCUAACGCAGCUACUGCAACUCUCGAAAUUCCAUUCCGAACCUCGGAUCAAAUUCUCACCUAUCAACCGGGAUCCGUCAAAAUUUAGACUUUGCCAAUUCAAGCCUAAUUCUACACCGGACCUCCAAAUUCAAUUUCGAUCGCUCUCCUAAAUCACAAAUCAUCUCCCAAAGCUAAGCGAAUCAUCAGAAAUCACAUCCAAACCUUCUAACUCACAAGUCAACUUCCGGUUGACUUUUCCAAAACAAGCUUCCUUCUAAGAGGCCAUGUGCCUUAAUUUCAACCAAAACCAAUUCAAUUACACCCGAUCGAUUCUAAUACUGAUAUUGAAACAUGAAACAACACAAUAAGGGAGAAAUAGAGCAGUAACACAUAAGACGACGGAUCGGGUUGUCACACGAUUUUAUUAUUGUUGUACACAUUUCAUAAUACAUAAUUUGCGAGUUAUACCUUUUCACGUUCUCAUUAUAUAUGUAAAAUCUAUUUGUGUAUUUAUCUUUUUCGUCAAACCCAUUUUUCUGGUAUCUUUCUUUAUGUCUGUAUCAGCUAGUAAUCUGUAUAUUUUUCUAUAAGGAAUAUGACUGAGUGAAUGUAUGUUUGCCUUUCCUAUAUUGGACAUGACUGAUUGAAAUUUGAAUGUACCAUCCUUGUUCUCCUUCUAUUUUCUGAUAUAUAUUUUUCACAUAUGCACAAAGAAAGUGUUGGUGACAAUAAAAAAUUACAACUAAUUGAAAUACUGAUAAAUAUUGGAGUAGUAGUAUAUAAUCUACCCCUAGUGGCUUGGAUCAUUUAAGCUUUUUAUUUAUAGCAGACAUUUGUUCUUAGAAUAAUGUUGUGUAUUUAAAUUUUCAAGGGGAAAACUCUUCCACUAUAUUGCUUUAAGUUUGCACUUACAUGUUUUAAUUUCUAUCUAAUUACUAUUUUCAUUUUGAAUAUGCAGGAAAGUUUUGGGUAGCAAAUCAGAAAUGGCAGCAAAAAGAGAAUUUGAUCUGUUUGAGUUUAAUGAAGAAGACUUUGGAUAAUUAUGAUUUUUUAUUCCUGAUACUAUAAUAAUAUAGUUGAUUUUGUAAUGUUAAUUGUUAGCAUGCAGCUCGAAGCAAUUUGUUUUAUUCGUUGGUGUAUUGCAUAAGAGAUUUAUUCAUUUAUUGAAGUUCAUUAUAUUUAUA